rnacentral:rRNA from 1 species
GUGAGCAAUCUGCCCCUGACUCUGGGAUAAGCGCUGGAAACGGCGUCUAAUACCGGAUACGAGCUGCGAUCGCAUGGUCAGUAGCUGGAAAGAAUUUCGGUCAGGGAUGAGCUCGCGGCCUAUCAGCUUGUUGGUGAGGUAAUGGCUCACCAAGGCGUCGACGGGUAGCCGGCCUGAGAGGGUGACCGGCCACACUGGGACUGAGACACGGCCCAGACUCCUACGGGAGGCAGCAGUGGGGAAUAUUGCACAAUGGGCGGAAGCCUGAUGCAGCAACGCCGCGUGAGGGAUGACGGCCUUCGGGUUGUAAACCUCUUUUAGCAGGGAAGAAGCGAAAGUGACGGUACCUGCAGAAAAAGCGCCGGCUAACUACGUGCCAGCAGCCGCGGUAAUACGUAGGGCGCAAGCGUUAUCCGGAAUUAUUGGGCGUAAAGAGCUCGUAGGCGGUCUGUCGCGUCUGCUGUGAAAACCCGAGGCUCAACCUCGGGCCUGCAGUGGGUACGGGCAGACUA